GUCCUCGCACCGGCCUUCCUUAGGCCCGAGCGCCAGCGGGAAGGGUCGCCGGGGCCUGUGGCCGGGUAGGGGCAGCGAGAGCCAGAGCCGAGCCUUUCAUCAGUGGAUGGAUACUUAGGUUAUUUUCCAUUUCUCGGCUAUUGUGAACAACGCUGCAACAAACGUGGGAGUGCAGCUUUCUGCUGAUGCACCCAGGAAGUCAACAGAAGAUGACCCAAGUGCUUGGACCCUUUCCUGUGAGAGACCUGGAUGGAGUUCCUGGCUUCUGGUUUUGCCCUGGCUCAGAUUGGGCUUUUGUAGUCAUUUGGGUAAUGAACCAGUGGAUGAAAGAUCUCCCUGACCCUCCCUCCUUCUCUGUUGCU